GAUCGUUUUUACACUGUUUAUGUUCGAUUUGUGUGCUGGUCAAUUUGAGAGUUCGAUUCAUUUGGGUGCUUCGGUCGAUUUGGUAGAAUUUUCUGUUCUAUUUUCUGUUGAAUUUUUUUUUGGCAGUAUUUUUGUUCCAUUUGGUAUGUGGGUUUUGUGGUUUUGCUAAAAAGUAUUACCAAUCUCAUUUCGUACUGUUUGUUUGCAGCCCUACGCACGUGCAUUAUAUGACUAGGGUAGAAUGACAUGGGAAGAAUCUAGGGAUUGUUAUGUUUAACGAUGACUAGUAAGGCUUGGUUGGUUAUUCUUUUUUUGUGAUUUGGUUUUAUGGAGCAAUUUUUGGAAAUUCGUUUGGAAUUUAUUUGUUGUGUAACCACCAAAGAAGAUGUUUUCAAAUCAGGAAACUCUGAAGCAAUAUGAAAAUGAUGAGUAUUUUCAUGAUUGGUGGAAAACUUAGAUGCAAUGGGUUCGUAACAACUCUAAAAGUGCCCUUUUCAGUUUGCUCAGACUUUGAAUUAAAAGCAUGCUUCCCUAUAUCUGAAUGUAUGUAGUGGUUUAGUGACGAAAAGGAUUUUAGCUGUCUAGACUCAACAUCUCACAGAUGUUUAAUAAUUGGUCCAUGAGCAAUUUUUCUCUAUUGUGUGAAUCUUUACUGGGUGGCACAAUAUUC